rnacentral:rRNA from 1 species
AACGAACGCUGGCGGCAUGCCUAACACAUGCAAGUCGAACGAGACCUUCGGGUCUAGUGGCGCACGGGUGCGUAACGCGUGGGAAUCUGCCCUUGGGUUCGGAAUAACUUCGGGAAACUGAAGCUAAUACCGGAUGAUGACGUAAGUCCAAAGAUUUAUCGCCCAAGGAUGAGCCCGCGUAGGAUUAGCUAGUUGGUGGGGUAAAGGCCUACCAAGGCGACGAUCCUUAGCUGGUCUGAGAGGAUGAUCAGCCACACUGGGACUGAGACACGGCCCAGACUCCUACGGGAGGCAGCAGCGGGGAAUAUUGGACAAUGGGCGAAAGCCUGAUCCAGCAAUGCCGCGUGAGUGAUGAAGGCCUUAGGGUUGUAAAGCUCUUUUACCCGGGAUGAUAAUGACAGUACCGGGAGAAUAAGCUCCGGCUAACUUCGUGCCAGCAGCCGCCGUAAGAC